rnacentral:rRNA from 1 species
CACCAGACUCCUACGGGAGGCAGCAGUGGGGGAUAUUGCACAAUGGGGGGAACCCUGAUGCAGCGACGCCGCGUGGGUGAAGGAGCGUUUCGGCGCGUAAAGCCCUAUCGGCAGGGAAGAAGGAGGACGGUACCUGACUAAGAAGCCCCGGCUAACUACGUGCCAGCAGCCGCGGUAAUACGUAGGGGGCAAGCGUUAUCCGGAUUUACUGGGGGUAAAGGGGGCGCAGACGGCAGCGCAAGCCAGGAGUGAAAGCCCGGGGCCCAACCCCGGGACUGCUCUUGGAACUGCGCGGCUGGAGUGCAGGAGGGGCAGGCGGAAUUCCUGGUGUAGCGGCGAAAUGCGUAGAUAUCAGGAGGAACACCGGCGGCGAAGGCGGCCUGCUGGACCGCGACUGACGUUGAGGCUCGAAAGCGUGGGGAGCGAACAGGAUUAGAUACCCCGGUAGC